rnacentral:rRNA from 1 species
UACAGAGGGUGCAAACGUUGUUCGGAAUUACUGGGCGUAAAGCGUGUGUAGGCGGCCUUGCAAGUCGGAUGUGGAAGCCCCGGGCUCAACCCGGGAAGUGCACUCGAUACUGCAGGGCUUGAGUAUCGGAGAGGUUGGUGGAAUUCUCGGUGUAGAGGUGAAAUUCGUAGAUAUCGAGAGGAACACCGGCGGCGAAGGCGGCCAACUGGACGAUUACUGACGCUGAGACACGAAAGCGUGGGGAGCAAACAGG